GUCAGGUGUGGUGGCACACACCUGUAAUCCCAGCUACUUGGGAGGCUGAGGCAGGAGAAUCACUUGAACUCAGGAGGUGGAGGUUGCAGUGAGCCGAGAUUGCGCCACUGCACUCCAGCCUGAGUAACAGAGUGAGACUCUGUCUCAA
ensembl:misc_RNA Metazoa_SRP Metazoan signal recognition particle RNA